AAAAAUGCAUUUCCAAGGGUCAUUGAUUGAAAGUGCUUGGAAUUCCAGGCACUCCCUUCUACAAACCACAUUUUUCCAGGGAUGGAGACAAAAAGUGGCAAGGAAAUCCGGGGGAGAUCAACUUAUUCACAGUGGAAUUCCGGGGUCAUGCGGAAAAAAAUGAAUUUCCAAGGGUCAUUGAUUAAAAACAAUUGGAAUUCCAGGCACCCCCUUCUACAAACCACAUUUUUCCAGGGCUUCUGACAAAAAAUUACUUGGAAAUCCAGGGGGUAGGAGAAUUUACGCCGUGUGUCCUCAACAGGGGGUGUACGGAUAAAAAAUGCAAUAAGCCAUUG